UUUUUGGGUUUUGCUUUGCUUUUUCAGUACAUGCUUUCCAUGUGUUGAUCAUCGGCAGUGUUUCUGUUGAGAGGAUUUUUCCCUUUUUGUUUCGUUUUCACUCCUCUCUUUGUUUACUUUUUCCUUUCAUUUUUCUGCUUCCUCUCUUUAGCCUCUUUUUUUUUCGUCUUCAGUUUUCUGUCUUCAUCUUCUCAUCCUUGGUCUAGCGCUUCGCACGCUGCCUUCUUGGCGUUUCAAGUCUUGCUGUUUUCUGGAAACAGUGUUGUUCGUUAUCCCAGCUGUUGUGUUGGCGUUUUCAUGCUGGUUGUGCUUCAGAUAUGUCUUUUUUCUUUCUCUUUUUGUUUCCGCUUAAUUUUCCUUAUUUUCUGGUCUGGGAUGAAUCUGGUGCUUAAAUUAGAGCAGAAAAAAUAGAGAAUAAUAAAUAAAGAAUCAAGGAGAAGGCUUUCUUGCGCUUAAUAUGUUUGUAAGAAAUUGAUUAGCAAAUUCAUUAACAACAGUAUGUUAAAUGUUACAGUAUUUAAAUAUUUAUUGGUGAGAAUUUUAUUAACUUAAUGAAAAGUUGCAAUACUUAAAUAUUCAUUCUGAGUAAAGAACUAACCAUCCCUGCAUUAUCCAUUUCUGUGCCUGCAUGCCUGCUAACUUUCCAGCUUGAAUUUGACGAUAUUGGAGAGUUAGAUCCAUCAGGGAACAUCUCUUGAUAGUAUUUAUACAAGGUUUUGCAUCCCAUGUCACCCAGCAUUCAUUAUUUUUUUGUAUGUAAAUGCUGGUUCCACUUGAGAGGUAGAUGCAAGUGUGAGAAUCCAAUCAAUCACUGUAAUAUUUUUUGUCUAUUUGUAAGGAAACAGGUUUUAAUCUUUUGUAUCUAGAUUGGAUUUGAUAUCAUUCAGGUUUCAUUCGUUCAA